UAGAGUCCAACAUGUCCACACAGGUGUGCAGCCAGCAGUAACAGCCUGGUUGAUCAGGUCCUGAUCCACCACCAGGCCUGGUCAUGGAUGAGGCCGCAGGGGGCGUUGACUCCCGGAAUACCCUCCAGGUAUACUCCAGGUACAGCUUUUGUUGGGGACCUUCAGUCGUACGGCGCAAGUCAGUUCCUGAUCAGCUAGGCUGUGGUGCAUAAUUUGGACUACGUGUUGCUGGUGCCCACAUCCUGGUGAAGGACCGGGAGGCCACCGGGGCCGUGGACCCCCGGAACGACCCCCAAGUAGAUUCCAGGGAAGCUCUCUAGUGAUGAUCACAUACUACAAGGGGGAUGGGAGGUAAUGUUGAACUCUAUGGAAAGGUAAUCCCAAUGCCUUGCAUCAAGUCGAGAGGCGGGAGCCGGGAGCCAAGACUUGACCCCUACAACCACAUCUAGAAACACAUACAUUUCCUCUCCAUGGGCCUACUUUCCCUCGACGGCGUAGAGGCAUCCCUCGGCUUAUCUGCCGAGGACAGCGAAGAUCCAGCAAUGCUGAGGGGGCGAGGCUUGCGAGGAGAAGUUCGCGACCUGAGG